GCAUAGGUGGUUCAGUGGUGGAAUUCUCACCUUUCAUGCGAAGACCCAGGUUCGAUUCCCAGCCGAUGCA
rnacentral:tRNA from 1 species